GAAACUUUUAACGGCCGCGGUAUCCUAACCGUGCAAAGGUAGCGUAAUCACUUGUCUUCUAAAUAAAGACUCGUAUGAACGGCUAAAUGAGGACCUAACUGUCUCUUACGACCAAUUAAUGAAACUGAUCUUUCAGUCCAAAAGCUGAAAUACAAACAUAAGACGAGAAGACCCUGUGGAGCUUUAACCAAGAUACUAUACCCACCACAUAUAUCUACACCAGUAAUAGUACCUCGUUUAAGUUGGGGCAACUAUGGAAAAAGAAAAACUUCCACAUUACCCUAGGGCAAACCCCCCUACCCCCCCAGACCCACCUGUCAAACACUAAGCACAUCGACCCAGUCCCACUGAUCAAUGAACCAAGUUACCCCAGGGAUAACAGCGCAAUCCCCUUUCAGAGUCCCUAUCGCCAAGGGGGCUUACGACCUCGAUGUUGGAUCAGGACACCCAAAUAGUGCAACAGCUAUUAAUGGUUCGUUUGUUCAACGAUUAACAGUCCU
rnacentral:rRNA from 1 species